GCGGGCGUAGUUCAGUGGCUAGAAUGCCUGCUUGCCAAGCAGGAGGUCGUGGGUUCGACCCCCAUCGCCCGCUCCA
rnacentral:tRNA from 1 species